AGCCUUCUGAAAAAAACCUCCAAAUAGUGCCCACAUUGCUCCAUUUACACGUAAUCUGACGUGCAUAUUAACCAAGCUACAGUGACACUGUUAUUGUUAUUAUUAACAUUGUUACGCCAGUCGAACUACGUCACUGGUGUAUUGACACCUUACCACACCAGCUAGCUACUAGCCGGCUAGCGGCUAGCUUCACCACACGCUCGCUCACAGCGCAUUAGCGCAGCGCUCACAAAAAAGUACAUUGAGUGAGUGAAGAUUGCUUUUAUAAUGAUCAGCCCAUAUCUCUGUUACGCUCUACUGUGACACAGACGCAGACACCUGAGCUGGGCGGAGCUACUGGACUCCUGCAGCUGUUCCCCAUUAGCACCCUUUAUUAUCCUCUCAGCUGCUCCUGGCCAGUGCUGUAUUAUUCUUCCUAUUUGCUCCUUCUACCGCAUGUUUGUUCUUUGUUCUGGACUCACCUCUGUUCAGGUGCUUCAGCUGCCGUCCUGCGGCCCAGUAGCCCGUCCAGCUCCUACAGUGGAACCUGCAGAAGAUAGUUUUGUGUCUCUGGUGUCGCCUUCAGUUCUUGUUUUUUCUCCUCUGUUUGGACUCAUGAUGCUCUCACUGCUGGAACUCUCCUGUGUCUGCGUCCUGGGAUUCAUCCACAUCCCCGGCAUGACAAUCUCCGCAAUAAGUUAGAUAUGGUUCCUUCACUCCCUGAGUGGGCGGCAUCACAAGGCACACCUGCAGCCACUCUGCCAUUGAGAGCUCUUAAGACACCUGGCUGCAGGAAGAGGACGUGGGAUUGUUACUACUGGUCUGCAUGCUGCCUGUGAAGCGCCACUUCAUUUGCCUCUGGCGCUGCAUUUUGGGAUCUCCACCUGACUAUAUACUGCAGAACUCUCAUAAAUAUCAGCAAGACACGCUGUCUGUGGAGGGCCUACAGAGGUAUUAUACAUCAACACACACAUGCCUCGCUCAUAAUUUACACAUUUAUAUUCACAAACCUGAUUUCGUAUUUAAAAUAUGACUCGUAAAGUGUGAUAUAUGGAAAUGGACAGAUCACAUGUGAUUCCUGAAUGAAUCAAGUGCUUUAGUGUCCCUCUGCUCUCCUGUGAGAGGAGAGAGCCUUGACCAUGCAGGUAAUUUACAGUGUUAUGAGAUGAGUGCAAAACAUGCUGUAAAUAAAUAAGAGCCUACCAAUUUCAUUUUAGGACAGGGGGAGGUUAGACACACCCCCACCCACCCAAGCACCCACUUCCCCUGCAUACCGCUGCCCUUUUGAAAAGUGCGGUGUCCCUUGGCUGGGUGCAUGUGUGUGUAUAUCAUCUGCAGAGGAGGCGAGCACAAAUGGGGCAGCAAGCGACACUAUGCAGUCCAUUUGCUAAUUUCAAUAUAGUGUCCGUCUGCGCGGGUUUGGCCUUGGGCACAGGCGCAGCCGCCACGCCAACCACCCCCCACCCCUCUCUCGUUGUUCACCGCUCCCCAGUUGCCAACCCUGGUGUCCCUUUGACCUUGCUCUCAAUCACAAACACACAUGCACUCCUAUUGAGUCCAUAGGAAAGCGUACACAAAUCACUUUCAGUAUGCACCCCUGCUCCCUUUCACGGUGUUUACUUAUAUGGACAUUUCCACUGUACAUUUUAUAUAAGGCAGUCAAACACGUGUAUUUUAUGUUCCUCGUUUAAUUUUGUGUUUAAUAUCAGUCUCAUAGAAGACCUGAAAUGCAAAGUAUUGAAUCGUCAUUAACACCAGAGUGCAGCGUCACCGUUGUCUUUAGCCCCUUGAAUACAGAGAUGCAUUAGAGCCGUAACCUAAGGUCCAACAAUAAGCCACCUUUGCUUUUUACACAAAACCCACCUGAAUGUGAGAGCACAGUGCCUUGGCAUAUUGCAAUAAGAUAUGCAAAAUUACGUUUGGCAUGACAUCUACUGUACUUGUACAUACUUUCAUCACAACAGGGCAGGAAAAUGUUGUGUCAAGUUUGAAACUCCCCCCCAAAAAAUCCCAUCUUUUGCAGGCAGUGUGCCUUCCUUAGUAAAACUUUCCCCCCUUUUUCCAGAUUGUUGUUUUGUAUAAACGGCACAGACACGGAAUAUUCCUUCCGAGGCAGGCGGAGCUGGAACAAAGGUAAUGCUGUAAUUCGUACUGCACUGUUGUGUUGACAACAAUUGUGGCUGUCCAACAAGUUCCGUAUUGACAUGAAAGCAAGGCAACCAUGACUAUAAAACGACGAUUCUCUUUGGACAAAUAUUAUUAAGGCAAACCGAUGAGUAAAUGUUUUCAAUAUCAGUGAAAUAACAAGUAGUAAAUUACAAUUUAAAAAAUGAUAUACGGUCGUCCCUCGCCACAUCGCGCUUCGAAUUUCGCGGCUUCACUCUAACAGAGUUUUUCAAAAUAUAUGAAUGAACAAAUCAUCACUUUUUGUGGUUGACUCACGUUUCUAAUAUUAGUCAAAACAUGAAUGUUUAUGUAAAUUCUAUGUAUUUUUUGCCUAAAUUAAGCAUUUUGGAACAUCAAAAAUAUUAAAUGAACUAAAAUGCAAAUAUAAGACAUUCACAAAACACAUUGAAAGACACGCUGAUUCUACACUGGUCAGUAAUGUUACAUUUGGUCGGCUCUGGAACCAAUUGACUGCAAUAAACGAGGGGUUACUGUAUUUCUUAGCUCGUCAACAAUGACUCUCUUUCACUGAUCACCAUUAUCUUAAACUUUGCGUCAUACCCCCUCCUCUGUUGUUUGCUAUUACUUGUUCAGCCUUUCAGACACUUUUUUGUCAUCUCUUCAGGUCACUGGUGGGUUCUAGACCACAAAAAACAGCCCUUAAUCACUUGAAGAGACGUUGUUUGGUGUCAUCUGUUGGUUAGUGUGUAUAAAUCUUUACACCCCAAAUAUAAGACGACCUAUCUUUUUGACGUUUUUCUAGGCAAAAAAUAAUCUGAUAUUCAAUAUGCACACGUAAUUAUCUGACUGUGGGGUGCUGCACACAUAGAUGCGUCAAUGCCCGCUGGGUUCUGUGUGAAAGGCACAGGCGGACAAACACCAGCUGUACUGUCUGAUUUGUUUUGCUCUGUCAAAAAAAAAAAAAAAAGCACAAGCUAACAUAUUGGCAUCCCUGUUAGGACACUUUUGUGCAGAAUUAAGAGUGUCAGUGAGCAUGUCCGGGGAUAGAUUCUUCUAGAAAUCCCAAUAAGUGCAGCCUGUGUGUGCAUCUGUGUGUGCGGCUUGUUACUAGACAAGGAGAUCCACUGCAAAUGUCACUUUGAAUUGACGUGAUUUGCUCAAUAACGCUCUACGCUGAUGUGGCAAUGAUCAUUCCCCAGCUGCACACUGCAAUAGCAAAUCGAGUGUGUUUUCAUGCUAAUACUGCUCUCUUUUGCCAGCCAUCCACCUUCACACGGCGCCACUUUGGAGAAGCCAUAAACCGAAUGAAAUCAUGUGAAAUGUCUGUUGUUUUUUUUAUGAAAUAACAGUGUCAUUGUAAUGUCCUGAGCAGGCUGCUGUUUCUUUUUUUUUUUUUUUUUUACUGGCCCAUGAAUCGUGAUUAAAACAUCUCCCAUGAAAUGUUUUACAGUUGUUGCACAUUGUGUCUUUUUCCCCACCGCCGUGCCUCUCACCCGCCACACAUUCUCUCCCAUGUGUGUGCUCAUCUGUGGGACAAGGUGUUGAACAGAAGCAGAGGGAAUAUCCCACAAUCCUCUGUGCAUUAUUGUAAUUAGAUUUCCCAGGAUAGCUCAAUUAAGUCAUCCUGCUCCAGGGACCUGCCAGUUUGUGGUUUUCUCACUGGGGCGUCCGCUGUGUUAAGUAAGGCAGAGAAACUCAAAUGGACCUUAAGAAGUUC